CGUUUUAGAAACAUUCAGGGCCAACAGUUUCAGGAUUGUUGAGCUCCAUUGGCGGGAUUUCGCCGUCUUCGUUUCUCUUUCUUCGCGGACGAACACGCGCCAGGCCUGAGCGCUGUGCGACGCACCGACGAUAAGUCGGGUGCGCGCCGGCAUGUCCCUCGUGUUAGGGGCUUGUAGCUCAGUUGGUUAGAGCGCGCGCUUGAUAAGCGUGAGGUCGGAAGUUCAAGUCUUCCCAGGCCCACCAUUUUGAUCGAGUGCGGAGCAUUCGUCUUCUGGUACGGGGCCAUAGCUCAGCUGGGAGAGCGCGUGCUUUGCAAGCAUGAGGUCGUCGGUUCGAUCCCGUCUGGCUCCACCAGAUGGAAUUGAAGCUCGACAAUGCGCCUUGUGCAGCAGGCUCUGUUCAAAUCGUCCGCGAAACAUCACUUCGCACUCAUUGGUCCGGAUGGACGGUGACGUGCGUGUUUUCUGACAUCGUAAAGAGGAGAUCGAUCCGAGUUUGGAUCUGCGAAGCAAUUCGCGGGUACCAUUCCUAAUCUCCAGAUCGUUUUCGGCGCUCGCGCAUCGCAGCUCAUCGCAAGAUGAGUGAGAUGAGCGAGUUGUAAAACGAUCUUUGUAGCGAAGCUUGACCGCCUCGCUAUCGGGCCGAUCUUAAGAAGCAAGCUGGUCUUUCUAGUCAAUGUCCGGCUGUGCAAUCGCAUUCAUCGAGGAUGCGCGCCUUCAAUGGCAGUUGUGCAGACAACAUUCUGCCGAGUGUGUGGACAUUGAUAAUGAGAGCAAUCAAGUGCCUUAAGGGUGUUCGGUG
rnacentral:tRNA from 1 species